rnacentral:rRNA from 2 species
GGCGGCGUGCCUAAUACAUGCAAGUCGAACGAACUCUGGUAUUGAUUGGUGCUUGCAUCAUGAUUUACAUUUGAGUGAGUGGCGAACUGGUGAGUAACACGUGGGAAACCUGCCCAGAAGCGGGGGAUAACACCUGGAAACAGAUGCUAAUACCGCAUAACAACUUGGACCGCAUGGUCCGAGUUUGAAAGAUGGCUUCGGCUAUCACUUUUGGAUGGUCCCGCGGCGUAUUAGCUAGAUGGUGGGGUAACGGCUCACCAUGGCAAUGAUACGUAGCCGACCUGAGAGGGUAAUCGGCCACAUUGGGACUGAGACACGGCCCAAACUCCUACGGGAGGCAGCAGUAGGGAAUCUUCCACAAUGGACGAAAGUCUGAUGGAGCAACGCCGCGUGAGUGAAGAAGGGUUUCGGCUCGUAAAACUCUGUUGUUAAAGAAGAACAUAUCUGAGAGUAACUGUUCAGGUAUUGACGGUAUUUAACCAGAAAGCCACGGCUAACUACGUGCCAGCAGCCGCGGUAAUACGUAGGUGGCAAGCGUUGUCCGGAUUUAUUGGGCGUAAAGCGAGCGCAGGCGGUUUUUUAAGUCUGAUGUGAAAGCCUUCGGCUCAACCGAAGAAGUGCAUCGGAAACUGGGAAACUUGAGUGCAGAAGAGGACAGUGGAACU